rnacentral:rRNA from 1 species
CGCUAGCGGCAGGCUUAACACAUGCAAGUCGAGGGGCAGCGGGAUGUAGCAAUACAUUGCCGGCGACCGGCGGAUGGGUGCGUAACGCGUAUGCAACCUACCUUAUACAGGGGAAUAACCUUUCGAAAGGGAGACUAACACCCCAUAGUAUUGAUUUAAGGCAUCUUAGAUUAAUUAAAUAUUUAUAGGUAUAAGAUGGGCAUGCGUAUGAUUAGCUAGUUGGUAAGGUAACGGCUUACCAAGGCGACGAUCAUUAGGGGUUCUGAGAGGAAGGUCCCCCACACUGGUACUGAGACACGGACCAGACUCCUACGGGAGGCAGCAGUGAGGAGUAUUGGUCAAUGGGCGCAAGCCUGAACCAGCCAUGCCGCGUGCAGGAAGACGGCCUUAUGGGUUGUAAACUGCUUUUACAUAAGACUAACCGUAUAUUUGCGAAUAUACCUGAAUGUAUUAUGAGGAUAAGGAUCGGCUAACUCCGUGCCAGCCGCGGC